AACGAACGCUGGCGGCAGGCUUAACACAUGCAAGUCGAGCGCCCCGCCAGGGGAGCGGCAGACGGGGGAGUAACGCGUGGGAAUCUACCCAUCUCUACGGAAUAACGCAUGGAAACGUGUGUUAAUACCGUAAACGUCCUUCGGGAGAAAGAUUUAUCGGAGAUGGAUGAGCCCGCGUUGGAUUAGCUAGUUGGUGGGGUAAAGGCAUACCAAGGCGACGAUCCAUAGCUGGUCUGAGAGGAUGAUCAGCCACACUGGGACUGCGACACGGCCCAGACUCCUACGGGAGGCAGCAGUGGGGAAUAUUGGACAAUGGGCGCAAGCCUGAUCCAGCCAUGCCGCGUGAGUGAUGAAGGCCCUAGGGUUGUAAAGCUCUUUCACCGGUGAAGAUAAUGACGGUAACCGGAGAAGAAGCCCCGGCUAACUUCGUGCCAGCCGCCGCAGUAAGAC
rnacentral:rRNA from 1 species